rnacentral:rRNA from 1 species
GAUGAACGCUGGCGGCGUGCCUAAUACAUGCAAGUCGAGCGAACAGAUGAGGAGCUUGCUCCUCUGACGUUAGCGGCGGACGGGUGAGUAACACGUGGAUAACCUACCUAUAAGACUGGGAUAACUUCGGGAAACCGGAGCUAAUACCGGAUAAUAUAUUGAACCGCAUGGUUCAAUAGUGAAAGACGGUUUUGCUGUCACUUAUAGAUGGAUCCGCGCCGCAUUAGCUAGUUGGUAAGGUAACGGCUUACCAAGGCAACGAUGCGUAGCCGACCUGAGAGGGUGAUCGGCCACACUGGAACUGAGACACGGUCCAGACUCCUACGGGAGGCAGCAGUAGGGAAUCUACCGCAAUGGGCGAAAGCCUGACGGAGCAACGCCGCGUGAGUGAUGAAGGUCUUCGGAUCGUAAAACUCUGUUAUUGGGGAAGAACAAAUGUGUAAGUAACUAUGCACGUCUUGACGGUACCUAAUCAGAAAGCCACGGCUAACUACGUG